ensembl:lncRNA
AUAUGCUGUGUCAGGCGGGUCUUAGUAUGGAACAAACUUGUUCUCAUAGCUUUGGCACUGUACAUGUUGUUUGGACUUGGUGAGUUAGGCCUAAUGAUGAACUUUGCUUUUGGUUUCAGGCUGGGGAGAAUGAUGACUUGGACUGUGUUAAAUCUUGCCUUCUUCUGCUGCUUAAUACUGAAGUAACAAGCAAUCCAAAGCUAUACUCUAGAUAAGGAGACAGAAGAGUGGAUAUAGUUCAUCAACCUCCUCAUUUGCUCCUCUUGAGAGGCAUCUUGACAGGGUUAUUUGGCCCUGGUGGACUCACCUCAUCAGAAGAGUUCAGAGUUGUGGGUUAGCCACUUGGGUACCAUAAGGGUGGAUUAAUAGCCACCUCAACACUGAAAGUCCACUGAACAUAUAAGGAUAUUACUGCUGACCCUUGGAAACAAACUUUUGCUUUCUUUUUCUUACUGAAUCAUUGUUUCUGACAGACUUGGCAACGGCCAGAGAACAAGCGCUCCAGGAUCCUCUGUCCAUGGCAUUUCCCAGGCAAGAAUACUAUUGUGGGUUGCCUUUCCCUUCUCCAGGGGAUCUUCUCGACUCUGGGGUCAAACACACGGCUCCUGCUGCAUCUCCAUUGCAGAAGCACAGAUUUCCCAUAUUGUAGAAUUUAAUUGAACUUCAAGCAGCUAUUUCUGAACCUUGACCUCUCCAGAGCUGGCCACCUUUCCCUAGGAUCUGUCCAAC